AAGAAAGAUAUAAUGGUUAUGAUGUUGGCUUGAAACCGAUUAGAGGGGGUUCGAUUCCUUCCUUUCUUG
rnacentral:tRNA from 1 species